rnacentral:rRNA from 1 species
GGUUAAGCGACUAAGCGUACACGGUGGAUGCCCUGGCAGUCAGAGGCGAUGAAGGACGUGCUAAUCUGCGAUAAGCGUCGGUAAGGUGAUAUGAACCGUUAUAACCGGCGAUUUCCGAAUGGGGAAACCCAGUGUGUUUCGACACACUAUCAUUAACUGAAUCCAUAGGUUAAUGAGGCGAACCGGGGGAACUGAAACAUCUAAGUACCCCGAGGAAAAGAAAUCAACCGAGAUUCCCCCAGUAGCGGCGAGCGAACGGGGAGGAGCCCAGAGCCUGAAUCAGUGUGUGUGUUAGUGGAAGCGUCUGGAAAGGCGCGCGAUACAGGGUGACAGCCCCGUACACAAAAAUGCACAUAUUGUGAGCUCGAUGAGUAGGGCGGGACACGUGGUAUCCUGUCUGAAUAUGGGGGGACCAUCCUCCAAGGCUAAAUACUCCUGACUGACCGAUAGUGAACCAGUACCGUGAGGGAAAGGCGAAAAGAACCCCGGCGAGGGGAGUGAAAAAGAACCUGAAACCGUGUACGUACAAGCAGUGGGAGCACGCUUAGGCGUGUGACUGCGUACCUUUUGUAUAAUGGGUCAGCGACUUAUAUUCUGUAGCAAGGUUAACCGAAUAGGGGAGCCGAAGGGAAACCGAGUCUUAACUGGGCGUUAAGUUGCAGGGUAUAGACCCGAAACCCGGUGAUCUAGCCAUGGGCAGGUUGAAGGUUGGGUAACACUAACUGGAGGACCGAACCGACUAAUGUUGAAAAAUUAGCGGAUGACUUGUGGCUGGGGGUGAAAGGCCAAUCAAACCGGGAGAUAGCUGGUUCUCCCCGAAAGCUAUUUAGGUAGCGCCUCGUGAAUUCAUCUCCGGGGGUAGAGCACUGUUUCGGCAAGGGGGUCAUCCCGACUUACCAACCCGAUGCAAACUGCGAAUACCGGAGAAUGUUAUCACGGGAGACACACGGCGGGUGCUAACGUCCGUCGUGAAGAGGGAAACAACCCAGACCGCCAGCUAAGGUCCCAAAGUCAUGGUUAAGUGGGAAACGAUGUGGGAAGGCCCAGACAGCCAGGAUGUUGGCUUAGAAGCAGCCAUCAUUUAAAGAAAGCGUAAUAGCUCACUGGUCGAGUCGGCCUGCGCGGAAGAUGUAACGGGGCUAAACCAUGCACCGAAGCUGCGGCAGCGACGCUUAUGCGUUGUUGGGUAGGGGAGCGUUCUGUAAGCCUGCGAAGGUGUGCUGUGAGGCAUGCUGGAGGUAUCAGAAGUGCGAAUGCUGACAUAAGUAACGAUAAAGCGGGUGAAAAGCCCGCUCGCCGGAAGACCAAGGGUUCCUGUCCAACGUUAAUCGGGGCAGGGUGAGUCGACCCCUAAGGCGAGGCCGAAAGGCGUAGUCGAUGGGAAACAGGUUAAUAUUCCUGUACUUGGUGUUACUGCGAAGGGGGGACGGAGAAGGCUAUGUUGGCCGGGCGACGGUUGUCCCGGUUUAAGCGUGUAGGCUGGUUUUCCAGGCAAAUCCGGAAAAUCAAGGCUGAGGCGUGAUGACGAGGCACUACGGUGCUGAAGCAACAAAUGCCCUGCUUCCAGGAAAAGCCUCUAAGCAUCAGGUAACAUCAAAUCGUACCCCAAACCGACACAGGUGGUCAGGUAGAGAAUACCAAGGCGCUUGAGAGAACUCGGGUGAAGGAACUAGGCAAAAUGGUGCCGUAACUUCGGGAGAAGGCACGCUGAUAUGUAGGUGAAGUCCCUCGCGGAUGGAGCUGAAAUCAGUCGAAGAUACCAGCUGGCUGCAACUGUUUAUUAAAAACACAGCACUGUGCAAACACGAAAGUGGACGUAUACGGUGUGACGCCUGCCCGGUGCCGGAAGGUUAAUUGAUGGGGUCAGCGCAAGCGAAGCUCUUGAUCGAAGCCCCGGUAAACGGCGGCCGUAACUAUAACGGUCCUAAGGUAGCGAAAUUCCUUGUCGGGUAAGUUCCGACCUGCACGAAUGGCGUAAUGAUGGCCAGGCUGUCUCCACCCGAGACUCAGUGAAAUUGAACUCGCUGUGAAGAUGCAGUGUACCCGCGGCAAGACGGAAAGACCCCGUGAACCUUUACUAUAGCUUGACACUGAACAUUGAGCCUUGAUGUGUAGGAUAGGUGGGAGGCUUUGAAGUGUGGACGCCAGUCUGCAUGGAGCCGACCUUGAAAUACCACCCUUUAAUGUUUGAUGUUCUAACGUUGACCCGUAAUCCGGGUUGCGGACAGUGUCUGGUGGGUAGUUUGACUGGGGCGGUCUCCUCCUAAAGAGUAACGGAGGAGCACGAAGGUUGGCUAAUCCUGGUCGGACAUCAGGAGGUUAGUGCAAUGGCAUAAGCCAGCUUGACUGCGAGCGUGACGGCGCGAGCAGGUGCGAAAGCAGGUCAUAGUGAUCCGGUGGUUCUGAAUGGAAGGGCCAUCGCUCAACGGAUAAAAGGUACUCCGGGGAUAACAGGCUGAUACCGCCCAAGAGUUCAUAUCGACGGCGGUGUUUGGCACCUCGAUGUCGGCUCAUCACAUCCUGGGGCUGAAGUAGGUCCCAAGGGUAUGGCUGUUCGCCAUUUAAAGUGGUACGCGAGCUGGGUUUAGAACGUCGUGAGACAGUUCGGUCCCUAUCUGCCGUGGGCGCUGGAGAACUGAGGGGGGCUGCUCCUAGUACGAGAGGACCGGAGUGGACGCAUCACUGGUGUUCGGGUUGUCAUGCCAAUGGCACUGCCCGGUAGCUAAAUGCGGAAGAGAUAAGUGCUGAAAGCAUCUAAGCACGAAACUUGCCCCGAGAUGAGUUCUCCCUGACUCCUUGAGAGUCCUGAAGGAACGUUGAAGACGACGACGUUGAUAGGCCGGGUGUGUAAGCGCAGCGAUGCGUUGAGCUAACCGGUACUAAUGAACCGUGAGGCUUAACCUU